rnacentral:rRNA from 1 species
AUUGAACGCUGGCGGCAGGCCUAACACAUGCAAGUCGAACGAGUGGCGGACGGGUGAGUAAUGUCUGGGCACCUGCCUGAUGGAGGGGGAUAACUACUGGAAACGGUAGCUAAUACCGCAUACCCUCCUCUGUGCCCAGAUGGGAUUAGCUUGUUGGUGGGGUAACGGCUCACCAGGGCGCCGAUCCCUAGCUGGUCUGAGAGGAUGACCAGCAACACGGGAAGGACGAAAGGGUCCAGACUCCUACGUGAGGCAGCAGUGGGAAAUAUUGCACAAGGGGCGCAAGCCUGAUGAAGCCAUGCCGCGUGUAUGAAGAAGGCCUUCGGGUUGUAAAGUACUUUCAGCGGGGAGGCGUUACCCGCAGAAGAAGCACCGGCUAACUCCGUGCCAGCAGCCGCGGUAAUUC